CCUACGGGUGGCAGCAGUCGAGAAUCAUUCACAAUGGGGGAAACCCUGAUGGUGCGACGCCGCGUGGGGGAAUGAAGGUCUUCGGAUUGUAAACCCCUGUCAUGUGGGAGCAAAUUAAAAAGAUAGUACCACAAGAGGAAGAGACGGCUAACUCUGUGCCAGCAGCCGCGGUAAUACAGAGGUCUCAAGCGUUGUUCGGAAUCACUGGGCGGAAAGCGGGCGUAGGCUGUUUCGUAAGUCGUGUGUGAAAGGCGCGGGCUCAACCCGCGGACGGCACAUGAUACUGCGAGACUAGAGUAAUGGAGGGGGAACCGGAAUUCUCGGUGUAGCAGUGAAAUGCGUAGAUAUCGAGAGGAACACUCGUGGCGAAGGCGGGUUCCUGGACAUUAACUGACGCUGAGGCACGAAGGCCAGGGGAGCGAAAGGGAUUAGAUACCCCAGUAGUC
rnacentral:rRNA from 1 species